AGAGUUUGAUCCUGGCUCAGGAUGAACGCUGGCGGCGUGCUUAACACAUGCAAGUCGAGCGAAGCAAUUUAAGUGAAGUUUUCGGAUGGAUCUUAGAUUGACUGAGCGGCGGACGGGUGAGUAACGCGUGGAUAACCCGCCUCACACAGGGGGAUAACAGUUAGAAAUGACUGCUAAUACCCCAUAAGCGCACGGUACCGCAUGGUACAGUGUGAAAAACUCCCGUCGGAGAGAGAUGGAUCCGCGUCUGAUUAGGUAGUUGGUGAGGGUAACGGCCCACCAAGCCGACGAUCAGUAGCCGACCUGAGAGGGUGACCGGCCACAUUGGGACUGAGACACGGCCCAAACUCCUACGGGAGGCAGCAGUGGGGAAUAUUGCACAAUGGGCGAAAGCCUGAUGCAGCAACGCCGCGUGAGUGAAGAAGUAUCUCGGUAUGUAAAGCUCUAUCAGCAGGGAAGAAAAUGACGGUACCUGACUAAGAAGCCCCGGCUAACUACGUGCCAGCAGCCGCGGUAAUACGUAGGGGGCAAGCGUUAUCCGGAUUUACUGGGUGUAAAGGGAGCGCAGACGGCACUGCAAGUCUGAAGUGAAAGCCCGGGGCUCAACCCCGGGACUGCUUUGGAAACUGUAGAGCUAGAGUGCUGGAGAGGCAAGCGGAAUUCCUAGUGUAGCGGUGAAAUGCGUAGAUAUUAGGAAGAACACCAGUGGCGAAGGCGGCUUGCUGGACAGUAACUGACGUUCAGGCUCGAAAGCGUGGGGAGCAAACAGGAUUAGAUACCCUGGUAGUCCACGCCGUAAACGAUGAA
rnacentral:rRNA from 1 species